rnacentral:rRNA from 1 species
CACGGGGGGAACGCGAAGAACCUUACCAGGUCUUGACAUCCCAGUGACCGCUCUAGAGAUAGGAUUUUCCCUUCGGGGGCAAUGGAUACAGGUGGUGCAUGGUUGUCGUCAGCUCGUGUCGUGAGAUGUUGGGUUAAGUCCCGCAACGAGCGCAACCCCUGUCGUUAGUUGCCGGCAUUCAGUUGGGGACUCUAACGAGACUGCCAGUGACAAACUGGAGGAAGGUGGGGAUGACGUCAAAUCAUCAUGCCCCUUAUGCUUAGGGCUACACACGUGCUACAAUGGGUGGUACAGAGGGCAGCCAAGUCGUGAGGCGGAGCUAAUCCCUUAAAGCCAUUCUCAGUUCGGAUUGUAGGCUGAAACUCGUCUACAUGAAGCUGGAGUUACUAGUAAUCGCAGAUCAGAAUGCUGCGGUGAAUGCGUUCCCGGGUCUUGUACACACCG